UCCCAUUUGAAUACACUUUUAGAAAAAGUAAACAUACCUAUGGAAGACACAUUCUUGUAUGUAUACUUCUUUUUGAAGUAUUUAAAAAGCUCAGUUUACAGAGUAUGGGUUGGUUACUACGUUGGAGUAAUCAUGGACAUCUCAAAUUUAGCGCCUAGGAUUCCUAUUUUGACUGAUGUGAGUAUCUCUUGGUCAGUCCUCAGAUUACAAAUUUGAAAAUAACUCUCCUGAAAACGUGGCAAAACUCACAUGUGGUCUAUAAAGAAAUAUUUGAUGAUCUUGCUUAAUAACUUGCUAGCAAGCAGAAAAUAUAUCAUGUUAGCACCAUUCAUGUAUCCGCUUUCACAGACCAUCUGACAUGACUUCUUAUUAAUUUUGACAGGAUGCUAAGGGCUGCAAGAAAUAAAAUAGUAUGUUACAUUUUGCCUACAGUUCUGGUUAAAUCAUCUUGGAUGAUCAAUCAAAUUUCCGGUGAUGAUACUCUAGCGGAUCAGGCUUCUAAACCACUAUCACUUUCCUGACAGAAGUUGUGCAUGUAGUACAGAUUUUCAGUUCAGCAAGCUCUUUUUUAGUUAGAGAUCAAUUUUGAAGACUAACAUGUCAUAUGAAUGCUCCCAGCUUAGCAAAAGCCUUGAUCUUUCCAAUUUUGUAAGUUGAGGGAAUACUUUGCUACUUCAAAAUCUCCAGAUAAAAGUUGACGAAUUCAUACGAUAGUUGAUUGGAAACAUAUAUCUAGCAAUUCAUUUUUUCAUGCGCACAAUGGGAUAAAUUGAUGUAACACAAGCCUUUACAACUUAGUGCUGUUGUUAUUAGAAUCAGGAGACUUGCUUUGUUACCGUACUUAGAGUUGCCGAUUGCUUACUAUAGUAAUAGCCAGGAAGGUUUGUAGUCAACUUAUCUGCAGUUGUAAUUAGUCGACUUAUGCUCCUUAAAUUGUUGUUCUUUGGUGACCAGUGAAUGGGCAAUUGACUCUUGCGUAUAUGGUUGAUUUAAUUGUUGGGAAAAUCUUCAGCACAUUGUAAUGUGAAAGGUUUUACCCCGCAAAAAAUAAAAGUAUGAAAGAUUUUGAUUUUUUUC